AUUGAACGCUGGCGGCAGGCCUAACACAUGCAAGUCGAGCGGAUGAAGGGAGCUUGCUCCUGGAUUCAGCGGCGGACGGGUGAGUAAUGCCUAGGAAUCUGCCUGGUAGUGGGGGAUAACGUCCGGAAACGGGCGCUAAUACCGCAUACGUCCUGAGGGAGAAAGUGGGGGAUCUUCGGAUCUCACGCUAUCAGAUGAGCCUAGGUCGGAUUAGCUAGUUGGUGGGGUAAAGGCCUACCAAGGCGACGAUCCGUAACUGGUCUGAGAGGAUGAUCAGUCAAAGUGGAAGGGAGACAGGGGCGAGACUGCUAGGGGAGGCAGGCGUGGGGUAUAGUGGGAAAGAGGCGUAAGUCUGAUCAAGCAAUGCAGCGUGUGUGAAGAAGGUGUUCGGAUUGUAAAGCACUUUAAGUUGGGAGGAAGAGCAGUAGAAUAAUACAUGGACGUGUUGACGGUACCGAAAGAAUAAGACCCGGCUAACUUCGUG
rnacentral:rRNA from 1 species